CAUCCCCAAGCUGCUGUCGUUCGCAACUCCACAUGCUUUUGCCCGUGAGGGCUCCAGUGGUGCUGCAGCUGCCAGGCUGGCAGUGGCCUCCUGCACCUCGCACUCGAACAGGAGUAAUUCUGAAUAUUUUGCAUUUCUUCUAUAGGUUGUACCAAACUUUCCAUAGGACAUCUUUUCCUAAAUCUGUACUAGAAGUGGUUGAGCUUGAAUGGACAAAAACAUAACUCAACUUAUUUUUAGCAUAGUGAUCUGUGGUGUUUCAGUCAAUAAUCACUACUAGAAUCUUUGAAUUAAAACUACAACACUUAUUUUGUUUCGGAGGGAGAACUAGAAUUUCACUACCCUUUUGUACAUCACUAUUUUCAUUAUCCUAGUUAGUAUAGAUCGGUCAAUCAAGAUUGAGUUUUUCUAUUUCAUCGAAGCCUGUUGUGUUCUCUUGUGUUGUGCAGGGAAGGAGUACAACAAGGUGACUCCAGGUACGUCCACCCUCACCGUCGGAGGGAUCACAGUUCUUCUCCAAGGCCCCGCGUCUCUGCUUGCAGUGUACGUCUCCUUAUAUUACUCGUGAUCCUCAGUUGGCACACAUCAACAACUUGUUUUGAUUUCUGUGUAGUAGGAGCAUGUGGCACUGGACUUUCAGAUUUCCUAUUUGUGUUAUCAAGUUGCUCUUCUCGAGUUAGCUGUUGUUACUUUGUUUGUGAAGCUCAACCAUAUAUGUACUGAAUUAGGAAAGGUGUUCAUAGUUCGAUGUUGUUAACUUUACGGAAGUACGGAAUCUGGUGUGAUGUGCAACCAAACAGAGCAUAUGUGUAGAUUGUCGGGUUAUGCUCGGAUCCGCAAGCUAUGUGCUUCUCCUGUACUAACUCUAGUGUUGUAUAUUUGCAUGACAAGAUAAUGCAAUCCUAGAAGUUACAUGGUUCAAUAAUAAAUGGAGUUUGUUUUCAUGUACUUCCUUGUCGCUAGUUGCCCCGGAAUAAAAUGAGCAUCAAGCUGAUUUGAGUACUUGACUGGAUAUAGACAGGAUAUUAUAGCCAUACACUCAUACAGAUAAUGUAAACUGGGUGUGCUUACUACUGAUUAUUCUUCCAAAAGUAGUGUGUAUUACUUACAAUCUCCCAGUCAACUUAAUAUUGCGAUCAGUUUUACAUUAGUUAAUAGUAUGAUUUUACAGAUUGAUGCUCUUCUAUGGUUGAAACCUACAGUGCAUGAAUACUUUGGGACUUGCUUUAAUGAGUAUUUUGUUAUAAUUUGCUCCUCAGUUGAAUUACUUGGUGGAAAUUACCUGUCCUGAAUGCGAGGACAGGACGACCUUGACUUCUUUGAGCAUGAGGUUUCCAAGAUGUAAACGCUCCCCGUCACCACCAUCAAGUUAGGCGUCUAGGUGGAUGUUUGUCCCAUAGAAAAAUGAUGUCUUGUAGUUUAGUUAUAGUUUCUGCAAUUGAUAGUAGCUUAUCCAAAUUAGAUGCUAGCUUGUGUGCUUUCUCUUGAGUUGUACUUUAUUACUGGUGAGUGGAUUGUUAUGUUGUUUCUCUCUUAUAUUUACUCAUCUAUAAGUUCUUUUUUGUGUGAAUGUACUCAUCUAUAAGUUCUUGUCAGCAUGAUCCAUUAAAAAAGAUUCCUUAGAAGUCAAAAUUGUAAUUUGUGGUAGUAAACAUACCACGUGGCAUUGCUCAUUACUGCAGCGCAUGCCAUAUGCUCUCAUGGUGGCUUAGCAUAAUUUAACUAGUCCCAUUAUGUGAGCAGAGUAGUAGCUUAAUCAUUUAGGGUUGCAUUUAGUAUUUAUUUUGUCAUAGAUAGUGUCGUGCUGCAGAUGCACAUGCCCUUAUGAUUCUUCGUUUUGCCAUACAUGUCCAUGCUACUGGCUUCUUAAACCCUACUCUGGGAGAAGGAUCAGGGAAGACACUAGGAUACGCUGUUCCUGCUUUUGUACGUCUGAGUAGAUGCCAAAACAAUACAAUGUUGGGUCCUACAAUGCACAGACCAUGUCCAUAACUUGCUGAUCAAAAUAAUACAUGUUGAUGUUAGAACAUGAUGAGAAGAUUCUGUCCAUGGAUGAGAAUAUAGUGAUCAUGGCGAAGCUGAUGAUAUAUAUGCAUAUUUGCCUUGGUGGCUAUCAAUAUGUGUUUGCAUAGAUGUUUGCAUUAUCUUUUGCAGAUUAGUGUUAGGAAUGUGUGAUUAUAAGCCGCGGCAUUGUCAUAUUUUAUAUGGUAUUAUUCAAAAAGAUCUAAGUUGUCCCAUUA